rnacentral:rRNA from 1 species
AUGCUCGUGACUCAGCUACACACCAACAGUCCAGCACAAGCUCUGCUCUGCCACUCCCAAUGCAUGCGCUACAAAUACGGUAAUACUAGCACAGAACUACACGUACGACGCCGGACGUCCUUGAAGUUGCACGCCCGCCGCGCACCGAACAGGCUGACAAUGGCAAAGAACUCCACGGCCACCGCCGACGCCGGCGACGAGAUCGUCCACGACUUCUCUCCGCUCCUCCUGGUCCACAGGAGCGGCAGGCUCGAGCGGCCCCUCGCCAUGCCGCGCGUCCCGGCCGGCCACGACGCCGCCACGGGCGUCGUGUCCAAGGACGUGUCGCUCUCGCCCUUCUCGUUCGUGCGUCUCUACCUCCCACCCGAAACGGGCGCCGGCGCCGGCAAAAAGCUCCCCGUCCUCGUGUACUUCCACGGCGGGGGGUUCGUGAUCGGGUCUGCCGCGUCGGCCGCCUACCACCGCUGCCUCAACGACCUCACCGCGGCCUGCGCCGCUGUCGCCGUCUCCGUCGACUACCGCCUCGCCCCGGAGCACCCACUCCCCGCCGCGUACGAGGACUCCCUCGCGGCCCUCAAGUGGGUGCUCUCCACCGCCGAUCCGUGGCUCGCCGAGAGAGCCGAUCUCUCCCGCAUUUUCCUCGCGGGAGACAGCGCCGGCGGCAACAUCUGCCACCACCUGGCCAUGCACCACGACUUGAGGGACGCCGCAGGAAGGCUCAAAGGCAUCGUCCUGAUCCACCCGUGGUUCUGGGGCAAGGAGCCCAUCGGCGAAGAGCCCCGGCCGGGGCGCGCGGAGGGCGUGGAGCAGAAGGGCCUGUGGGAGUUCGUGUGCCCCGACGCAGCGGACGGCGCAGACGAUCCCCGGAUGAACCCGACCGCGGAGGGCGCGCCGGGGCUGGAGAACCUGGCGUGCGAGAAGGUCAUGGUGUGCGUCGCCGAGGGGGAUUUCUUGCGUUGGCGAGGCAGGGCGUACGCGGAUGCGGCGGCCCGGGCGAGGGGCCCCGAGCCGGCGGUGGAGCUGUUCGAGUCGGACGGGGUCGGGCACGUGUUCUACCUGUGGGAGCCUGCAACGGAGAAGGCCAGGGAGCUGCUCGAGAGGAUCGUCGCGUUCGUCAGAGCGGAGUGA